CCAAACUUGGUCAUUUAGAGGAAGUAAAAGUCGUAACAAGGUUUCCGUAGGUGAACCUGCGGAAGGAUCAUUACCGAGUGAAAAAAUCACACCCUCAAAUCAAAAACCCAAUGUGAACUUUUCCUGUUGCUUUGGCGGGAACCUCUUAUCUUUCUUCCCUUUGGGAUUAAAAAAACGAGGUGACAGUAGUACGAGUUAAAUUAUUCUAUUGCUUUGUCCCGCCAAAGGUUAUCGACAAUACCAUCCUUUUUUCUUUUUCUCAAAAAACAAAACCCUCUACGUUUUUAUUCGGAGGAGGGGGAAAAAUUUUAUAAAAACUUUCAGCAACGGAUCUCUUGGCUCUCGCAUCGAUGAAGAACGCAGC
rnacentral:misc_RNA from 1 species